rnacentral:rRNA from 1 species
AUAUCAAUAAGCGGAGGAAAAGAAACCAACAGGGAUUGCCUCAGUAACGGCGAGUGAAGCGGCAAGAGCUCAAAUUUGAAAUCUGGCGCAAGCCCGAAUUGUAAUUUGUAGAGGAUUGUUCGGUUGCGGCUCCGGUCCAAGUGUCCUGGAAUGGAACAUCUCAGAGGGUGAGAAUCCCGUACCCGGCUGGGAGCCAACACCAUGUGAACAACCUUCGAAGAGUCGAGUUGUUUGGGAAUGCAGCUCAAAAUUGGUGGUAAACUCCAUCUAAAGCUAAAUAUUGGCCAGAGACCGAUAGCGCACAAGUA